CACCAAGCUGCCCACCAGAGGCCAAGCUGUACUUGGUGUUUGCCAACAUGCUGUAAUUUCCAGCCUGGUUGCUGUAGCCACAGAGGAAUUUUCAAGGACAUGAACCAGUGCUGGUAAAACUGUGGUCUCGUGUGGUUUUCCAUACCGGCUCUCGGCGAGGAUUUUCAAGAAAGGAAUACCAUCUCCAAAUCAUGAUGUGCCAAUAAGCUCCAGUUAGCUGCGGCCUUUUCCCCAGGCGGUAGUCCUGCAAUCUGAAUCCAGGAGAUGCAACUCUGAAUCCAAUAUUUCAGAAGAAUGAAGAUG